GACGAACGCUGGCGGCGUGCUUAACACGUGCAAGUCGAACGGAAAGGCCUGCUUUCCCUUGUGGAUUGCGGGUACUCGAGUGGCGAACGGGUGAGUAACACGUGAGUGAUCUGCCCCCAACUUGGGUAUAAGCCUGGGAAACUGGGUCUAAUUCCCGAUAGGACUGCAGGGUGGUGCCUGUGGUGGAAAACGAUUUUCUAGUGGUUGGGGAUGAGCUCGCGGCCUAUCAGCUUGUUGGUGGGGUAAUGGCCUACCAAGGCGGCGACGGGUAGCCGGCCUGAGAGGGUGGGCGGCGACAUUGGGACUGAGAUACGGCCCAGACGCCUACGGGAGGCAGCAGUGGGGAAUAGUGCACAAUGGGCGGAAGCCUGAUGCAGCGACGCCGCGUGGGGGAUGACGGCCUUCGGGUUGUAAACUCCUUUCGACCGCGAGGAAGCCACCUGGUUGGAAGGGUGGUGACGGUAGUGGUAGAAGAAGCACCGGCUAACUACGUG
rnacentral:rRNA from 1 species